rnacentral:rRNA from 2 species
UGGGCGUAAGCGCGCGCAGGCGGUUUCUUAAGUCUGAUGUGAAAGCCCACGGCUCAACCGUGGAGGGUCAUUGGAAACUGGGGAACUUGAGUGCAGAAGAGAAAAGCGGAAUUCCACGUGUAGCGGUGAAAUGCGUAGAGAUGUGGAGGAACACCAGUGGCGAAGGCGGCUUUUUGGUCUGUAACUGACGCUGAGGCGCGAAAGCGUGGGGAGCAAACAGGAUUAGAUACCCUGGUAGUCCACGCCGUAAACGAUGAGUGCUAAGUGUUAGAGGGUUUCCGCCCUUUAGUGCUGCAGCUAACGCAUUAAGCACUCCGCCUGGGGAGUACGGUCGCAAGACUGAAACUCAAAGGAAUUGACGGGGGCCCGCACAAGCGGUGGAGCAUGUGGUUUAAUUCGAAGUAACGCGAAGAACCUUACCA